rnacentral:rRNA from 1 species
CCUACGGGAGGCAGCAGUGAGGAAUAUUGGUCAAUGGACGCAAGUCUGAACCAGCCAAGUAGCGUGCAGGAUGACGGCCCUCCGGGUUGUAAACUGCUUUUAGUUGGGAAUAAAAGGGGGCUCGUGAGCCCCGUAUUGUAUGUACCAUCAGAAAAAGGACCGGCUAAUUCCGUGCCAGCAGCCGCGGUAAUACGGCAGGUCCGGGCGUUAUCCGGAUUUAGUGGGUUUAAAGGGAGCGUAGGCCGGCUUGUAAGUCAGCUGGGAAAGUCCGGGGCUCAACCGUGGAAUUGCAGUUGAAACGGGAGGCCUUGAGUGCACACAGGGAUGCCGGAAUUCAUGGUGUAGCGGUGAAAUGCUUAGAUAUCAUGAAGAACUCCGAUCGCGAAGGCAAGUGUCCGGGGUGCAACUGACGCUGAGGCUCGAAAGUGCGGGUAUCAAACAGGAUUAGAUACCCCUGUAGUC